AUUGAACGCUGGCGGCAGGCCUAACACAUGCAAGUCGAACGAGUGGCGGACGGGUGAGUAAUGUCUGGGAAACUGCCUGAUGGAGGGGGAUAACUACUGGAAACGGUAGCUAAUACCGCAUACCAUCGGAUGUGCCCAGAUGGGAUUAGCUAGUAGGUGGGGUAAAGGCUCACCUAGGGGACGAGCCCUAGCUGGUCUGAGAGGAUGACCAGCCACACGGGAACUUGGACACGGUCCAGACUCCUACGGUAGGCAGCAGUGGGGAAUAGUGCACAAUGGGCGCAAGCCUGAUGGAGCCAUGCCGCGUGUAUGAAGAAGGCCUUCGGGUUGUAAAGUACUUUCAGCGGGGAGGCGUUACCCGCAGAAGAAGCACCGGCUAACUCCGUGCCAGCAGCCGCGGUAAUAC
rnacentral:rRNA from 1 species